GGAUCCGCACAAGCAGCGGAGCGUGUGGUUUAAUUCGAGGCUACGCGAAGAACCUUACCAGGGUUUGACAUGCAAGUAGUAGUGAAGCGAAAGCGGAACGAUCCUUCGGGAAGCUUGCACAGGUGAUGCAUGGCUGUCGUCAGCUCGUGCCGUGAGGUGUUCGGUUAAGUCCGCUAACGAGCGCAACCCUUACCGUCAGUUACAAGUGUCUGGCGGGACUGCCGGUCUUAAGCCGGAGGAAGGUGGGGAUGACGUCAAGUCAGCAUGUCCUUUAUAUCCUGGGCUACACACACGCUACAAUGGCCGGUACAAUAGGGCGCCAAGCCGCAAGGCGGAGCCAAUCCUAAAAACCGGUCUCAGUUCGGAUUGUAGGCUGCAACCCGCCUACAUGAAGUUGGAGUUGCUAGUAACCGCAGGACAGCUAUACUGCGGUGAAUACGUUCCCGGAUCUU
rnacentral:rRNA from 1 species